rnacentral:rRNA from 1 species
UACGGGGGGGGCAAGCGUUGUUCGGAAUUACUGGGCGUAAAGGGCUCGUAGGCGGCCAACUAAGUCCGACGUGAAAUCCCCAGGCUUAACCUGGGAACUGCGUCGGAUACUGGAUGGCUUGAGUUUGGGAGAGGGAUGCGGAAUUCCAGGUGUAGCGGUGAAAUGCGUAGAUAUCUGGAGGAACACCGGUGGCGAAGGCGGCAUCCUGGACCAACACUGACGCUGAGGAGCGAAAGCCAGGGGAGCAAACGGG